GUUUCUGCUGUCUCUGUGUAUCUGGGUCAAACUGAACACCACACAGGAGUUAAGCCUUUGUGUUUUGUAAUUAGAGAAAUAAAGCUGUGCUCUUAAUUCAGUUUUGUCUCAGAGUCCUGCACUCUGGGUCCUCACUCUGCCUGUUACACCCAGCUUAUUGUGACAGAAGAUAGUGAGCAGUAAGAUCGACCCAGCAGAGUUGGUGAGAGAUCGGCAGUGAUCGAUAAUUUCUUUUAUAGAAGAAAAUAAGGGGUGGGGGUCUCAGCAAGCCCCAGACCAUGCGCACCCAUAAUAUGGGACUUGGCUCUUGGGGACCCUCAGCGUCUCUGAACCUCCUCAGCUGCUGCCCUCCCUCAGCCCGAUCUUCCGGUGUUGAAAGUGGGCGGUCUCUGCUUCACAUCUGCUGCUCAUCUCCAGCCUCUUCAUUCGUCUGCUCUCUUCAACCACCACAGAAGUAUCUGAGCGAAACGGCAGAAGACGGGAGCUCUCAGAGAUAAUUCAUAUCUGCAUGCAAUGGAGGAAAUAUAUUUGAAACCUGAUAACCCAACAUCUUCAACAAAUCACACAGGUCGAAGGAGCUCUAAGAGGAGUUUCUGUUUAGUUGGUAUUCUCUCUCUUUGCCUGUUGGGUGCUUUCCUGCUGGCUAGACUGAUCACUUUUAGUAUUUACUCUGAUCAUCUGGCAGAAAUAAAGAAACAACUUUCUUCAAUGACUGAGGAGAGAGACCUGCUGACUGAAAAGACCAAAGAGCUGAAAACGCUGCUAUGUUUGUCCAGUCAGAACAAAACAUGUCCUGUAAGAUGGAACAAGUUCAAUCAUAGAUGCUAUCUCCAAUCGGAAAGCUCUGAUUCGUGGGAUGCAGCCAGAAAGUACUGCACAGACGAAGAAGCCGAUCUGAUAGUCAUUGACAGCCCUGAAGAAAAGACUUUCCUCCAUACAAUCAUCAAUGAACAAACUUGGAUCGGUUUGAAUGACAAAGAACAGGAGGGAACAUGGAAAUGGGUAGAUGGUACUCCACCAACUCUGAUGCACUGGGCAUGGAGUCAACCUGAUGAUGGUGGCGAUGAGGACUGUGCUUUUGUCAUGAAUCACGGCAAAAAUUCUUGGAUGGAUUAUCGAUGUUCAGCUUCUUUUCAUUGGAUCUGUGAAAAAACACUAAACUGCAGUACAGUUUACUGACAAUGAUCUAUUAUUACAUUUUUUGCAGUUUUUUUUCCUAUCAUUCUAUUUUAAGUUUAGUCUGUUUUAUUCUGUUAUACUUAUACGUGUAGAUGCAUGUAUACCAUACGUGCAUCUACUGGGAGGCUAAGGAGUAACACUGGCAGCUGCCAGUAUUCUAUUCUAGUGUUUAAAGUGUUGAUUUUUGUGUUUCUUGAAUUUUUGAAUUGUAUUUUUAUUUAAUUACCAUUGCUUUAUUUCCUGUGAUAAAAAAAAAAAUAGUUCUAAUAAGAAUUAUUAGAAGAAUGAUUAUUAUAAUUAUUGAGUCUCAAGAGAAUAGAUUUUGCACAGAUCUUUAUGAUCAAGCCAUUGGAGCAGUCCAGUUUAUAGCUAGCUUAAAUAUAUUGUUUGUAAUUUCUUGUAGAAAAUACAUGUUCUGAAGGAUGGAGUAAGUUCAACUGUAGCUGCUAUGUCCGGUCUCAAAGCUCUGGUUCCUGGGAUGCAGCCAGAAAGGACUGCAGAGACAGAGGAGCAGAUCUGGUGGUUAUUGGCAGCCCUGAAGAACAGACCUUCCUCUCUACAAUCAGCACAAGAAGAGUUUGGCUUGGUUUGACUGAUGAAAAACAGGAGGGAACAUGGAAAUGGGUGGAUGGAACUCCACUGACUCUGUCGUACUGGGGAUCGACUCAACCUGAUAAUGGUGGAGAAGAAGACUGUGCUCAUGUCUACAGUGGUGAGGACAUGAGCAUGAAUGACCUUUCAUGCUCAACUUCUCUUAAAUGGAUCUGUGAAAAAGCACCAGACUACUGUAUCAUUUCUUGAAGAUUUUCUACUUGUUACUUCAGUGGAGACUUUCCGAGAGAAAUUAUCAAACACCUGCAUAGCUCAUUAUGUGUUUAAAUUUUGGGUUUCUGUUUGGUUUUUAUUGCAGUGUUUUAAAGUUUUGAUUUUUGUCUUUGUUAACAAAGUAUACUAACUUUGUGUUAGUCAAAUGUUACAUGAAAAUGGACAAUGAGACAAAACAUUUUGAGCAUGCAAUUUAUUGAAAACAAAGCUGUUUUACAGCUGAUCUAAAGUUUAGGACCACAUCUCCCAAAAAAAAGAAAUCUGUAAACCCCACAAAACAGAAAUCAAAGUUCCAAACAUGAACUCAGUAAUGAGUAGCUCCACCGUUAUUGUUGAUCACUUCAAAAAUUCAUUGCAGAAUGCUUGAUACAAGCAUUUCCAUGAGGUGAGUGGGAACACUUCUCCAAGUGGUGAAGAUGGUCGCACAAAGGGCAUUUACUGUCUGGAACCGUUGUCCUUUUUUAUAAACUUCCCUUGCCAUCCUUCCCCAAAGGUUCUCAAUUGGAUUUAGAUCAGGGAAACACGCAGGAUGGUUCAAAACAGUGAUGUUAUUCUCCUGGAAAAAGUCCCUUGUCCUGCAAGCAUUGCGUACUGUAGCAUUGUCAUGUUGAAAAACCCAGUCGUUACCACAAAGAUGAGGGCCCUCAGUCAUGAGGGAUGCUCUCUGCAACACCUGGACAUAGCCAGUGGCCACUGAAGGAAAAGCACCCCCUCCCCUGCGGUACGUAGAAAACAUCUCAGGUGGGGUCUGCUACAUUGGAAACCAUCAGGACGAUCAAGGUUAAAGUCCAAACAGUCCAAUCUCAGAUGCUGUCUGAUGGUUAUGGGGCUGCAGUUGCAGGUGGCAGUCAGGAUAGGACCCAAACGCAGACUCACAGACAGGAUUUGAACACAAAAACUCAGCUUUAUUGCUGGCACGAGUUAAUACAAAAACUAAACUGGAAAAGCUAGGAACGGAACUAUCAACAGGAGACACAGCCGGGUAUGAGGGAGACACUGACAUAAAUACACAGAGGGAUAACGUGGGAAGUGAGAACACACAGGGAACACAGCUGACAUGAAUUAACAUGACGCCACAAGGGUAGCAAAACUAGACACACCAAACAUGGAAACACAAGACCUUCACAAUAAAACAGGAAACGGAGGAACAUGGUACAGGAGUGGAGGAAAGGCAGACGAGAGAGACAGAGGGAACACGAAGGAGAACAAGGGAGAGAGAGAGAGGAAACAAGAGAGAUGUGAUAGACUGGGGAAACAUGGAUAAACAUGACAAGCAGGGGGGAACAGAAUGAAACACGAGGAGGGAAACAAAACACAAGAACUAUAUAAACACAGAGACACAGAGAUACAUUAAAGGGCAAAGACACAAGAGGGAAUCUAGUAAUCUAAUAAUAGUAAUUGAUAAUAAUAAUCAAAAGCCCAAAAAAAAAAGCUGGGCACUACAGAAUAAACUCAAGACUAAUAAAAUGGACUUAAAUCAUAAUACAAAAUGACAUCAAAA